CCUACGGGGGGCAGCAGUCGAGAAUCAUUCACAAUGGUGGAAACCCUGAUGGUGCGACGCCGCGUGGGGGAAUGAAGGUCUUCGGAUUGUAAACCUCUGUCAUGUGGGAGCAAAUUAAAAAGAUAGUACCACAAGAGGAAGAGACGGCUAACUCUGUGCCAGCAGCUGCGGUAAUACAGAGGUCUCAAGCGUUGUUCGGAAUCACUGGGCGUGAAGCGUGCGUAGGCUGUUUCGUAAGUCGUGUGUGAAAGGUGCGGGCUCAACCCGCGGACGGCAGAUGAGACUGCGAGACUAGAGUAAGGGAGGGGGAACCGGAAGGCGCGGUGUAGCAGUGAAAUGCGUAGAUAUCGAGAGGAACACUCGUGGCGAAGGCAGGUUCCUGGA
rnacentral:rRNA from 1 species